rnacentral:lncRNA from 1 species
UCGCCCGCCUCCCGGGAGGGUGAGUGAGGGGAGGAGCUUUGGAAAUCCACUUGGGGUCGGAGGGUGCAGAGCUGUUCCGCGCACGCUUCAGACCUACAGCCCCCGGUGGUGGCCGAAUUCCUGCGGGAAUCCGGCUUGCAGUGUCCUGGGCGGGGGCGGGGGCGGGGCGCCGCCGCCGCCGCCGCCGCCGCCGAGGCCGGGCCCCUGCGCGGGGCUCCGGGGCGGCCGGGGCGGGCGGGCGCAGCGGCCGAGGCCGAGGGGCCGGGCGGCCGCGGCCCCCGAGCGGGUCCGCGGUGGGGCGGGAGCCGGGGCGGGCAGCGCGCGGCCAGUGCCCGGCCGGAGCUCAGCUCAGCAUGGCUGUGUGUGGGGGCUUCGGCAAAAGUUGCACGGGAGGCGGAGGAGGGGCGGGGGCGGGGGCCGGGGAGGGGGGGCGGGGGCGGGGGCGGGGGGGGGGGGGGCGGGGGCGGCGGGCCGAGCGCGAGCGAGCGAGCGAGCGAGCCGCGGAGCGCGGAGUCCGCGCGCAAUCGAGCGCCGAUGGCACGGAUGCGAGGCGGGGAAGGCCGAGCGGAGGGUGUUAUCUCUCCGCCCCUUUCCAGUACUACCUGAUAGAAAAUGCUGCAGGGAUGAAAAUGUAACCAUUCGUGGCUGUUGAGCACAUGAAAGGUGGCUAAUGUGACCGAGGAGCUGAAUUUUUCAUUGUCACGGCCACGUGUGGCUAGCGGCUCCGUACCAUACUGAGUGGUGCAUCUCUAAAGUGCACCUUCAACAAGGGCAGAAACGGUGUUGAUCUUGCUUGGCCUUAUAUCCCCAGCAACAAGCACAUCGCCUGGCACAUGGUAGGUACUGGACGAGUGUUAGCUGAGCGAUGAUAGCUACCAUUUAACAUAUGCUCGUUUGUGUCCAGCACAACACUGAGAACUUGGUAGAAGUUAUUGGGUCUAGGACUUUCCACGGCACCUGGGGUGGGACUGGACUGGAGACAGAGCUUGUAUAGAGUGCUGGCAGACAGUAGAGGUUCGAUAAGAGGUGGUUGUGAUUAUUUCGAAAACCUCCAUGGGACUGACCUGAUUUUUAUCUCUCCUUCUUCUAGAGGCUUACAGAACAGUUCCUGGCAUGCACACUGUGCUGCCACAUGGCAUCGCCCAGCCUAGAUGGCCGACCCCUCCCCCCCCCUUCUAGGGAGGCGGUCUGUUCCCCCAUAGCUGGCUUGGCAGCAUUCUGGGGCCAGGUCCAUGGCAUACUCAUUUGGAUGCCCCUCUGCUCAGAGCUUGCACUGAUUGGUGUUGAAAUAAUUGCCUCUAGGGGCGCCUGGGUGGCGCAGUCAGUUAAGCGUCUGACUUCAGCCAGGUCACGAUCUCGCGGUCCGUGAGUUCGAGCCGCGUCAGGCUCUGGGCUGGUGGCUCGGAGCCUGGAGCCUGUUUCCGAUUCUGUGUCUCCCUCUCUCUCUGCCCCUCCCCUGUUCAUGCUCUGUCUCUCUCUGUCCCAAAAAUAAAUAAACGUUGAAAAAAAAAUUUAAAAAAAUA